AGCAAGUUUUGGUUUAGCUAACUCAGAUUUACCUGGUCCUGGUUCUGAUCUAAGUGGCCUUAUCAAUGCUUUUAACAAUAAAGGUUUCACACCCAAAGAAAUGGUUGCUUUAUCAGGUAACUAUAGUUACUUUUAGUUCCUUUAACAUGUGCAAUAUUACACAUGUCAGAAAAACCCUAAUUUUAUUAUUACUAGCGUUUAGGCACUCUGGUGUCCGUCUAUCCAGUUUUCAUACCAUAUGAUAAACAUGUCUCAUUAUCAAUUGUAUAACUAACUUUAUUGUAUUAUAGGAUCACACACAAUUGGUGAAGCUAGUUGUAGAUUCUUCAGAACAAGGAUUUACAAUGAAAACAACAUAGAUUCAUCUUUUGCAAAUUCAUUGCAAUCAAGUUGUCCCAGAACAGGUGGUGAUUUAAAUUUGUCCCCACUUGACACAACCUCUCCAAAUACAUUUGACAAUGCUUAUUUCAAGAACUUGCAAAACCAAAAAGGUCUCUUUCACUCUGAUCAAGUGCUUUUCGAUGAAGUAACCACAAAAUCACAAGUUAAUUCUUAUGUUAGAAACCCUUUGAGUUUCAAAGUUGAUUUUGCCAAUGCAAUGUUCAAAAUGGCGAACCUUGGCCCACUUACGGGGUCUAGUGGUCAAGUUCGAAAAAAUUGUAGGAGUGUCAACUAAAAUUCUUGGCCUUCUAUUGUAUAAGUGCAAUACAAGGUUAUAAGCUACUCUCUAUAUUGUAAUCAUAAAUCGCAUCAAACUCAAUGUCAUAUCGUCAAUCAGUAUCAAUAAUAAUGUUGGUACCUAUUUAAUUACUUAAUCUUGUUGGUCCAAGUGCUAUGAGGUUUGAAAACCAUAUAUAUAUAUAUAUAUAUAUAUAUAUAUAUAUAUAUAUAUAUAUAUGCAAGUAGUCUUGAGAAGAGUUGAUUUUUUCCUUUAAAUUUGUCUCGCUUAACAACCUUGAGGUUUUUUUUUUGUCUUUUCGUUCAUUUAAUUUGAACUAUCGAACCGAACCGAGUUGUUCAAAUCAAAUGGAUAACUCUUUGUAUCCUAAGUAGAUUUUUGAUUAUCCCUAAUGACUUUUUUGAAUGGAUUAUCUCUAAUGACUUGAUUGCUAAAGUGAUCCCUUCUUCCUUGAUUAAUCAGGAUGAUUUCAAUAUAUCCGAAAUACCUUCUUUUGAAGAUGUCAAGGCCUCUUAAUAGGGAUGAUGUUCACUUGGUUAACCUAAGCUUUUUAAACAUGACAAAUAAGAAAAUAUUAACAUAAUUCUUUAAAAAUAAUUCGAUAUUUAGUUAAGAUCUCAUUUUUAGUUAAUGGCAAGCAUGGUUUAUUUCUUUUCCAAAAGAGGGUGUAAGGCAUGGGAGUUUUUAUUUCUCCUUUUCUUUUAAAUUCUUGCAUCAUUGAUUUGGAAGUGUAAAGGAUUGAAGAGUAAGAGUGUAAUUUGAUUUCGCAUGCAACUCUUGCUAAUUUGGAAGGUGAGGAAUGAUAACCAAAGUUAGCACAAAAAUCCAAAAUUUGGGGAGGUAGUUGACCAAAAUGUCUUGAACAAAAAAUCAGCUUGGCACUAAAAAAAUAAAUGAAAAAAAAAAAUCUUAAAAAAGAAGUGAUGAAAAUGACAAUAUAAUUAAUUAAAAUGAAUUCCGUAGAAAUUAUUAUCUCCAAUAAUUUUGUUCAUGUAUACUGUUUUUUAUUUUUAGGGAUGUGAUGCAUCAGUACUGUUGGACGAUACAUCAAGUUUCAUAGGUGAAAAAACAGCAGGUCCAAAUGCUAAUUCAUUGAGACGCUUUGAUGUAAUUGACAAAAUAAAGUCUGAAAUAGAGAAGUUAUGCCCUAAUACUGUCUCUUGUGCUGAUAUUCUUGUUGUGGCAGCAAGAGAUUCCGUGAUUGCUGUAAGUAUAAAUACUUCAAAUCAAAACUUUUCUUUAAGGGAUACUUCAAGCUAAAAAAUAGAGUUUUUCGUCAUAAUUUUUAAUUCAACGGUUGAUAUAUGAUGAUAAUGGAUCAUGACUCAUAUUGUAUGUGUCUAUAUAUUAUUUGACUAUAAACAUAACUAUUUUUGAAGUCAGACAUGCGAGUGGUUGUGAUAUGUCAGCCGUAUAAAACUUUUUAAGGAUAUAAUUAAAAAUAUAUUUUUGGUAGGAUGGUUAUGGUGUACUCUCUGGUGGUUCGGGAGUUGAGGAGUGCCUGAGUGAUUCGUCUCUGGGGUAGGUAUGGUGUGUCGAUCGCUUUUACUUAGAGAUUGGGAGUCAAUUUCUAGAAAUUUGUUAUGUGGGCUUAUUAUGGUGUCUUCUUCGGCGGAAUGGGGAUCGAUUGGUGGUGCAAUUUGUAUCGGUGCUGGAUUAAGUGUUUAUCAGGUGUUUAUUUGGGCUCGACGUCGGAUAGAGAAGGUGUUUGAUGAGUUUUUGGAGAUUUUCGUGCGAGUAGCAGACGUCAGGUGUUUGGAACGAGUUUAGGUGGACAUUCCAGCGGACCAGUGGCGGAUCUCUAUAGAGACCCACAGGUGCCAUGACACCCCUCAACUUAUCUAUAAAUACUAUAUUACUCAUAACAUAUUAUAAGUAUUUCAUUGUCGCAGCGGAAAGUGAAGGCUUUUUGCAACUAUAGGUCGCGAGUUCAAUUUCUAUUGGCUCCCUUUUAUGUGUAUUUUUAUUUUUAUUAAAACAAAGUGUUUGUCUGGAGCUCGAACCAGUGUCCACAAGGUACUGGGCAUAAACAAAGUGAACCACUACACCAUCUUACAAACAAUGUCAAACAUUUGAAAGAGUGUGUAUAUUUUCUACGACUAUUUGGCACCCCGAACAAAAUCAGUCAAGAUCCGCCACUGCAGUGGAGGUCGGGUGUUUGGAGAGUUUAGGUGGACAUUCGAGUAGGAGCAUGAGGUUUUCCCUCAACUUAGGUUUUUCAGUUGUCUGAGGUUUGGCGUUGAUUUUUAUGUGUUGGUUUUCGUCUUGGUGGUUAGUUUUUAUUGGGUUUGGUGAUAGACGUCAAUUAAAUGAUGUCUUUAUUAUGUAGGAGCUUACUUUUAGCCCUUUACUUAUUUCUGUCUUGCCAAUCUCUAUUCUUCUUGAACAGUGAUCUGGUUUUAAUAAAUUUUGUUGUUUAAUUUUUUUUUAUAUAAGUUGAACAUACAAGUAAUUUUACAUUGCCGGUAUAAAACUUUUUACAACAACAAUGUAUGAAAAUUAAUCACAUAUUAUAAGGAAAAGAAAAUUUUUGUAGUUCUUGACAAAAACAAAAUUGUACUUGAAGUUAUAGUCAACCAAGUAUUUCUCUAUACACUAACAUAUUGAACACAUUUCAGCUUGGUGGUCCUAGUUGGACUGUUCAAUUAGGAAGAAGGGAUUCAACCACAGCAAGUUUUAGUUUAGCUAACUUAGACUUGCCAGGUCCUUCCUCUGAUUUAAUGAAUUGAUUGCUCUUUCAGGUAGCAAGCUAAACUUAUAGAUGCAUAUUUAUCAAAUGUUUUAGAUUAUUAUUUUUAUUAUUACUAGCGCACUCUCGUGUUCGUCUAUCCGGUUUUUAUACCAUUGUUGUGUAACUAACCUUAUUGUAUUAUAGGAUCACACACAAUUGGUGAAGCUAGUUGUAGAUUCUUCAGAACAAGGAUUUACAAUGAGAACAACAUAGAUUCAUCUUACAAUUGGUGAUUUAAAUUUGUCACCGCUUGACACCAUCACUCCAGAGACAUUUGACAUUGCUUAUUUCAAGAACUUGCAAAAUCAAAAGGGUCUCUUUCACUCUGAUCAAGUGCUUUUCGAUGAAGAAACCACAAAAUCACAAGUUAAUUCUUAUGUUAGGAACUCUUUAAGUUUCAGAGCUGAUUUUGCCAAUUCAAUGAUCAAAAUGGGGAACAUUGGCCUACUUAUAUUACUGGGUCUAGAGGUCAAAUUAGGGAAAAUUGUAGGAGUAUUAACUAAAGUUUUUUGCUUCUAUUACAAGUGCAAUACAAGGUUAUGAGCAUUAUAUGGAUUGUAAGCAUAAAUCGCAUCAAACUCGAUGUCAUAUCGUAAAUCAGUAUCAAUAAUAACGUUGGUACCUGUUUAACUAUUAAUUUUUCUAUCGUGUAAUGUUAAAAAUAAAAAAUGGAUUUGUCCAAGUGUGGUGGGGUUUGAUUUCCAACUCAUGUAUACGAAAAAAAAUUAAUUGAAUACUUCGUACCUAUAAAAUAAUUUUAAAAAAAGUGUGUAAUACUAAAAAGGGUGUAAUCAUGCAUGUUCAUAUAUUCAAGCCUACUUGUUAAGGUUUAACAUUUUAAUUUUGUUAUAUGGGCUGAAACAUUUUUAGCAAUGGAAAAAAACUAAACAAAAUUAUCAAUUUGUUUUUCUUUUAACUCUCUUAUUUCGUCUAAAAAUCAAGUGAAACAUGCAUGACUAAUGAUUGUUUUAGUGAGGAUUCAAUCUUAGAUUGUCUUGAACGAUUUGUUUUUACUUUUUAAGUAAAAUUUAUUAACCAUUUGAUAAAUUAUUUGAUUACUAAUUAAUCAAUUGAUGUUAGAAUGAUAUGAUUAUGUUUGUAGUUCACUGUGUCCCAAAAAAAGAAAAUGGUGUAGUUCACAUACUUUAUUUUUUUUUACUCGAGUAAUCUUCCAACUUAAGCUCUCAAGUUUAACUUUAUCUCCUACUCGAUUCUUAAAGUAUACCAAAAAAAUGUUUUGUCCCCUGAUAUAAGUUCAAAUAGCAUAUAAAUACAUUUUUCAAAUAAAAAGUAAAGAAGAAACUUAACAAAAAAAAAUAUAUGUCAUUUAUAAAAGUUUACAUUAAGUUUCUACGAGUAUUGGCGUAGCUGACAUAUAUUUAAUUAGUGUUUUUUCUUAUAUUGUGGUUUGAUUCGGUUGGUAAAAUAAAAACACAAACCGAUCCAAACCACGCGGUUGAGUAAAAAAGUGAUUCGAAUACAUCUAAACCAAAUACGGUUUUUUACGUUUUUUUUUUUUUACAGUUUCUUUUGUCUUUUAUUGGUUUUCAUUCCUAACACUCUUGUAUAUGGGCUGUCUCCUUUCUCUUUGGGCCUGUACCACCCAACCACCCCUUUCUUUGAUCCAACGGUGCAAGCUUCGAUCUUUUCUCUAAAAUUAAUCUCAACCAUCCAUCCACUCGAUCUUUUCAAUUUUCAUUACUCUUUUCAUCUUCAAACUUAGGGAAUAUAUGAGAUUGUAACCGAUGACACUCAAUCAGUUGAGAUCAUUUAUUCCUCUACACAAAACCCAUAUAAAUUAUGCCUUAUUUUUCUGACUGACUAAAAUGUUAGAUAUGAAUGAAAAUCAUAUUUGAUGUGUUUAUGAUUUUGCAUAAGUUAAUUGUAGAAUGAAACCUCAUUGAAAAAAGAAAUUACAAUAACUUUAUUAAAACCUUAAUCAUAAAUUUCCUAAUGACUAAAUUUCAAAUAUUGAUUUUUUUUUUUUGCCAAGGAAACUGGAUUUUAAAUGAUGUUGAAUUUAAAACUUAAAUGAAUUGUGGGUAUUAUUUAUUUAUAAUUUAAAUUAUUAUUUUGUUUUAUGUUUAGCUUUUUAAAUAUAAAUUCCCUAUAUAUUAAACUCUCUUUUCUUUCUAUUCUUUCUCCAUGAAUUCGGAAAUUGUGUGGGAAAAAGAAAAGGAGGUUGUUUAUACGGGAUUUUUUAAUUAAAAAUCCUAAAUUUCAAAUUUUAAAUAAUAUUUAAAUAAUAAAUAACUAUAUAUAUAUAAACAAUUGCAUUUAUUAAAUUAUUAAUUUCACUUUUCUUUUUCCUGUCAAAGUCCACCUUACAUUUUCUAGUGCUCUUAGAACACUCAUUAGAAUCCUUCUUGAUUUUGUAAUUUUUGUAGUGUUAUGAAUGGACUAUGUAAAGACAAUAAUAUUAUAUAAAUGAGGUCAAACUACAUAAAUAUCUAAUUUUGAGUUAAUAAUACAAUAAGUAAGUGGGGUCGGCUGACCCGAUUGCCCCCACACUGAAGAUGUCCCUGCAGGGGGCUAGCAAAUGUUGAAUGGCAACUAGCUUUCUCUAAGGCCUUUGUAGAAGUUCGGUGUAGACUCCCACUCCCACCACAACCUUAUCCUUCUCCGCUUUGGUGGUUAUAACAUCCCAGACGACUUUAAGCAUUGCCGACUGGCCCUACAAACCAACAAGCAUUCAUUGUUGAUAUAGGUAGUACCAAACAAUUCUUAUAAGCCUUCUUUCAACCAUGUAGUUCCAUACCUACACAGCCUCAAGAUCCCUCUCAUUCCGAUGUGAUUCGGUUCCUCUAGAAGUUGUCGGGAGCCGCUCAUUGUCGUGCCUUGUGCACCGACGACCACUUCCCGCCCUCGUCGGCCUUUGGUGUUACAAUGGUCGAUCUCCCCAUAGCCAGAGGGCCUAGACCUUUCCUCUUUGAGACAACUUGAAUUAAUCAUGAAGUCGGCUCUGAUUUAGUUGCCACAAUCUGGAAUUCUUCUAACCAUAACCCACCAGUCGACUUAAGCAUGGUUUUGCGGCCUUCAAGCAUAGAAUGUUAACAUGCAUUCUAAGAACCGCAACAAGUUAUGUUGCUCCAAACUAUUCAAACAUUCAUUUUUUACAAUUACCGUAAAACUGAUUUUCCCUUUACCAUGAAACUUUAAUAAAAUGCAUAUAAUGUCACCUAUACUUUUUUUUGUCAGAUAGUCUAGUGACUAUAAUUCAAUUUUUAAAGUGAAUAAGUGGAGUGUUGAGGGUUCGAAAUUGACCUCUGCAUGUUACUAUGCAUUGUCCUUAUUUAAGCUCAUAUUCAUUAGUCAUUUAUUCGCAUACGACUUAGCAAUAUAACAUACACACACGCACCUUCGAAGAGAAAGGGAAAAUGUAAGGAGGAGGAGGAGGAGGAGGGGGGAAAAAUGUCGUGAGAAAUAAGAAGGAAUAAAAAGAGAGAAAGAGGGAGGGAGUGACAAAUAUCAGGAAUAAAGGAGAGUAUAGAAGGAAAAGAAAAAUAAGGAAAGAAAAGAAGCUCUAGAUGGUAGGGAUUUAUGAAUGUGAAGUUCCUCGUUUAGGAUUCUACCAUUGUUGAAGGGAUCAAACUUAAGCUGUGGGGUUCUUCUAAUUUUAUCUAAGGUAACCUAGAUUCUUCCCCCAUAUACCCUCUAUUAAGUGUGUGUGUGUGUGUUUUUUUUUAUAUAUAUUUUUCAACCAUAAAUAUUUGUCUCGUAUUCCUUUAUGUAUUAAUGGCAAACAUUUAGCUCAUUCUUUUAUGUAUUAAUAUUAAAUAUUUGUCAUGUUUUUUUAGUGGCAACUACUUUAUCCCAUUUUUUAAUGUAUAAGUGAUAAUUUUUUUGUCCCAUAUUUUUUAUAUUUAUUAUAUGUUUUGUUUAUGUAUUAGUAAUAAAUCAUUUUUUUUUGUGUUUUUUUAUAUAUAUUUAUCAAUUUUUGGUAAAUUAUGUUAUUCAUUCAUUUGACACAUCUAUUGCAUCUUUCCAAGCAUCUCAUCCGAUUUGGAAAUUUAGGUGUUUUCUAAAAAUGUUCAAUCUUCUCUUCAAAUCAUUUGAUUAUCUUUGUAUUUGGGUUAUCUGUAAAGAAAGAGAUUGGUAUAUUUUUUAACAUAAGGAGACUUUGAUGGUUGAAAUCAAAGAAUAAAACUUAACUUUUGAUCUUUAUAAUCGAUGGCUUAGUCCCAUUAUGUGUUUGAGUUUUGUCUCUUUUAGUUUUGUUGUGGUUUUGUAAUUUAUUGUGGACAUUUUUAAAUUCUACCCUUGCUCACCUUGUGCAGGUUAGGAUUAUUUCUUGGGUUUAAUAUAUUCUAUUUUAAUUUUAUUUUUUAAAAAUUAUGAUUUUAAUAUUUAUAUUUUUAUAUAUAUGAUUAUAAAUAUUAUUAAUUGAAGUCAACAGUUGGCCCCGCUAACACAUUGGGUUACAUAUAACUUACUAAUUCAAAUUUUUAUUGUCAAAUUGUGAAAUAAAAUUAAAUAGAAUUAUAUGAAGAGAUCACGUACCCAAUAGGACAAUAUAUAAAAUUCAAAUAACAAUAUGUGAUAUAUUGACCAAAGAAAGAUCACAAUGUAGACCUUCUAUAUAAAUAUGUAACAAAUUCAUAGAUAGAACCACAAAUACAUAAUCAUAAGCAUCUCCUAAAAUUAUACAAAUUUUCAUUACCACAACCAUGGCUAAAAUUAUUAUUCCAAUAAUCUUAUGCUUUGUUGGGAUAGUUUCAGCUCAAUUGUCCACUGAUUUUUACUCAACAACGUGUUCUGAUGUGCUUUCAACCAUUAAAAGAGAAAUAGAUUCUGCUGUUGGUAAUGAGGCUCGUAUGGGGGCAUCAAUACUUCGUCUUCAUUUCCAUGAUUGUUUUGUUCAAGCAAGUCUACUUUCACUUCUUAAUUCUUCUAUCUUUUCAAUUUUUUUGUUCAUCAAAAUUUCAACUAUUAUAUAUGGUCAAUUGCAUUAACUAAAUAUAAAAGUACACAUACUCAAGUAUGCUUGUAUCACAUAUUUUACAUUUAUGCAAGAAAUAUUAUAUAUGAUCUAUAUGUGAUAAUAUGAUCUUUCAAUCCAUAAAUUUUAUAAAAUACAUAUUUAGUAAAAUGUUAUUGAGCGGUGUAACAUUACUCAAUUGUUUUACCGAUGUAAUUUGAUCUUCUUUGUAAAGGAGUACUCAAAUUACACUCAAAGAGUUGUGCUAAUAGACUAAUAGUUGCACUAAUAACAUCUUGUUGGAUUAAACCCAACUAUCAACAUUUUUCUUUUCUCAUUACUACUUAAUUGAUGAAAUUUGUUUAUUGAAAAUUAAACAACUGCAGGUGAGUCAAUGUGACAAGAGAAAAACAUUAAGAUUACACCCCCACACACGAUUUUUUAAUUGUUAAUUUUUACUUUCCAUUGCUCAUUUAAAGUUGUAAAAUUAUAUUUUCUUAUCUCUCAGAAUAUAAGUUAGAAAAAAUCUCUAAAUAUUAGUUUCUUUUUAUAUUAUUAGAUUUUUUAACAAAAAAAUGCUCCUAAUUAAUUUACUGCCUUUUUUAGAAUCAUUGUUUAACUAAAAUUUGUUUAUAUAUGACUUACUACUCUCUUCUUUAUAGAUUAUAUGACUUGCUACUCUAGUUAAUUUAUUAAAUGAGAUUGCUUAUUUAUCUUGUAAGGGCAUGGCAAAUUGGCAAUCAUGCGUAUAUUUCUUUAUUUAUUUUCUUAAAGAAGAACAUUUCUUUCCUUUUUUUUUUGUGGGGGGGAAUAACAACAUUUCUUUCCUUAAAUAAAGAAAGAACAUUUCCUAAUUCAUUAUUAUAAUUUUGUAAAGGCGUGGCAAUAUAAUUAUAUAUACGUAUGUUUUCUUAGAAGAAUAUUUCUUUCCUUGAAUUAAAAAAAGAACAUUUCUUGAUUAACAAGCAACAAAAUGUCAACUAAUGAUAUUAUUAUUAUUUUUUUCAACAAAAUCAUUUUGGUCAUCAAUCUUGUGUUUUGAAUAUAGGGAUGUGAUGCAUCAGUACUGUUAGACGAUACAUCAAGUUUCACUGGUGAAAAAACAGCAGGUGCAAAUGCUAAUUCCUUAAGAGGUUUUGAUGUAAUUGACACUAUAAAAACUGAACUGGAGAGUUUGUGCCCUAAUACUGUGUCAUGCGCUGAUAUCCUUUCUGUAGCUGCAAGGGACUCUGUCGUCGCAGUAAGUAAUAUUUGUUAUCACAAUGAGUUUGUCAGAAUCAUAGUGGUUCACUGUGACUAUGACAACCUACUAUGAUACAAAUCGUGCACUACGUAUUUUCAUAUAUAUAUACAACAUAAAGCUAUAGAUCAUUUAAUAAAGCAAUUUAAUUAAUUUGGAUUAAUACUAAUUAAUGUUGAAAAUAAUAAUAAAAAUUUCAGCUGGGUGGACCUAGUUGGACAGUGCAAUUGGGCAGAAGGGAUUCAAUCACAGCAAGUUUAAGUUUAGCAAACUCAGAUUUACCUGGUCCUGGUUCUGAUCUAAGUGGUCUUAUAACUUCUUUUGAUAACAAAGGUUUCACACCCAAAGAAAUGGUUGCUUUAUCAGGUAACUAUAGUUAGUACAUUUCUAAUCAUUUUAUAUACUAUUAUUACUUUAUUAUAAACUUAUCCUCCCAAAGUCAAUUUCUGGGGCUAAUUCGUAUGGAGUUUUGCUUUGACUUUAAACGAGCCCCCACAAUGAACAAUGAGAUUGAUUCUCUCCAAUUAGUCAGUCCUAAGGGUCGAUUAUUACUUUUACCAUACGCUUUGACUCAUACUUGCAAAACAAUAUUUUAGGAUCUCACACAAUUGGUCAAGCAAGUUGUAGAUUCUUCAGAACCAGGAUUUACAACGAUGACAACAUAGAUUCAUCAUUUGCAACAUCAUUACAAGCAAAUUGUCCUACCACAGGUGGUGAUGACAAUUUGUCACCACUUGACACCACUACUCCAAACACAUUUGACAAUUCUUAUUUCCAGAACUUGCAAAGCCAAAAGGGUCU
rnacentral:lncRNA from 1 species